UGUGACCACACUGAACUUGAGAGUUCAAUCUUGUAAUUGUUACUCAUUUUGCUUCAAUUUUAAUCCCUAUUUGUAUUUCUAUUUUCUUCUUUCAUCAUAAUAUUCCUUUGAAUCUCCAGAAUGCUCGAAUUGUGCUUGAUGAAUAUCAAGUUGUGAGACACUUUUCAGAUUCUAUAGCUCCUGUUGGAAUCCUUCAUCCCUUGGAAUUUUCAUUUGGAAAAGAAGGUAGAUAUUCAAUCUUUAAUAUCACCAGAGAACAUAAGUGAAACUUCAGUUCAGAAACUGGGAACUGUGUUUGAAGUGGAAGACACUUUAGAAAGAUGUGAAGACACAUUUAAGCCGUUGGAUUGCAGUGCUGACCCAAUUGAUGACCUAGCACAUAAAUUUAACAUCUCAAGAACAAAUAACAAGAGAACACUCUCCUUAAGUUGCUAGUUACAAGAUUCAUGCAACGAUUUGCGGGAAGAUUUGAUGACUGUUUUGGCAAAAAUUGAAUCACUAUUAGCUGGCUUUGGCUUUGGGUGGGAUAAUGUUGUCUAUGUUGCAGAUAAAUGUGACGUUUACUCCUUUGGUAUGGUUCUACUUGUAAUGGUAUGCAUGAAGGAGAAGGAUUUGUUUCUUAAUAAGGCCAACAUGUUUGGUAACCAACAUUUGGAGGGGAAGAGUGAAAUCAAAUACUUAGAGAAGUUCAUUGAUGAUCAAGUUCAACCAUGGAAUGUAGUAGCCUUUAUGUAGCGAUUCCCAAUCGAAGAGAUCAUUGAUCCAACCCUUAGGGGAAAGAUUGCACCAGAGUGCUAGGAAGUAUUCAUGGAUGUUACACAAAGAUGCUUGAAGCAUGAACCUGAUGGCUUUAUUUUCAACUAUAAAAUUACUUUUGGGAUAAAUUAGAAGACAACUACAGAUGGUGUAGGUUCUUAUUUUUAUUACACUGAGAAAAGCUCAGUAUUUGAUUAAUGGCCUGAGUCAAUACACUUUGUUGAUGUAUGGUCGUUACUUAUUAUAGUUGAUAUAUCAAUACACUUUGUUUCUGUUUUGA